CCGAGUUACAACUCCCAAACCCUGUGAACAUACCUAUCGUUGCUUCGGCGGAUCCGCCCCGGCGCCCUCGGGCCCGGAUCAGGCGCCCGCCGGAGACCCCAAACUCUUGUAUUUCUUUAGUAUCUUCUGAGUAAACAAGCAAAUAAAUUA
rnacentral:misc_RNA from 1 species